rnacentral:rRNA from 1 species
UACGUAGGGGGCAAGCGUUGUCCGGAAUUAUUGGGCGUAAAGAGCGUGUAGGCGGUCCGGUAAGUCGGCUGUGAAAGUCCAGGGCUCAACCCUGGAAAGCCGGUGGAUACUGUCGGACUAGAGUGCGGAAGAGGCGAGUGGAAUUCCCGGUGUAGCGGUGAAAUGCGCAGAUAUCGGGAGGAACACCAAUUGCGAAGGCAGCUCGCUGGGACGUUACUGACGCUGAGACGCGAAAGCGUGGGGAGCAAACAGG